AGCGAACGCUGGCGGCAUGCCUAACACAUGCAAGUCGCACGGGGGGGCUUCGGCCUCCCAGUGGCGGACGGGUGAGGAACGCGUAGGGACCUGUCGAGGGGUGGGGGAUAACCGCGGGAAACUGCGGCUAAUACCGCAUGACGCCGCGGCGUGACAGCCGGGGCCAAAGGCGAAAGCCGCCCGCCGAGGGGCCUGCGUCCGAUUAGCUGGUUGGCGGGGUAGCGGCCCACCAAGGCGUCGAUCGGCAGCUGGUCUGAGAGGGUGAUCAGCCACACCGGGACUGAGACACGGCCCGGACUCCUACGGGAGGCAGCAGUGGGGAAUAUUGGACAAUGGGCGCAAGCCUGAUCCAGCAAUGCCGCGUGGGUGAAGAAGGUCUUCGGAUUGUAAAGCCCUUUCGGCGGGGACGAUGGUGACGGUACCCGCAGAAGAAGCCCCGGCUAACUUCGUG
rnacentral:rRNA from 1 species